rnacentral:rRNA from 1 species
AGAGUUUGAUCCUGGCUCAGAACAAACGCUGGCGGCGUGCCUAAUACAUGCAAGUCGUGCGAGAAAAUUUCCUUCGGGAGAUGAGUAAAGCGGCGAACGGGUGAGUAACACGUAAGCAACCUGCCUCUAAAUUUGGGAUAACUCCGAGAAAUCGGUGCUAAUACCGAAUGUGGUUCUAAAAUCGCAUGGUUUUAGAAUUAAAGGUGACCUCUCCUUGGAAGUUACUGUUUAGAGAUGGGCUUGCGUACCAUUAGCUUGUUGGUAGGGUAAUGGCCUACCAAGGCUUUGAUGGUUAGCCGACCUGAGAGGGUGAUCGGCCACAUUGGGACUGAGAUACGGCCCAGACUCCUACGGGAGGCAGCAGUAGGGAAUUUUGCGCAAUGGACGAAAGUCUGACGCAGCAACGCCGCGUGAGUGAUGAAGGUCUUCGGAUUGUAAAACUCUGUUGAGUGGGAAGAAAAGAUUAAAGAGUAAUAUGCUUUAGUUAUGACGGUACCACUCGAGGAAGCUCCGGCUAACUACGUGCCAGCAGCCGCGGUAAUACGUAUGGGGCAAGCGUUGUUCGGAAUCACUGGGCGUAAAGGGAGAGUAGGCGGGAAAGUAAGUUAGGAGUUUAAUACACAGGCUCAACCUGUGGAGUGCUCUUAAAACUGCUUUUCUUGAGUAUGGGAGAGGAAGAUGGAAUUCUAGGUGUAGCGGUGGAAUGCGUAGAUAUCUAGAAGAACACCAGUUGCGAAGGCGGUCUUCUGGCCCAAUACUGACGCUGAGGCUCGAAAGCUAGGGGAGCAAACAGGAUUAGAUACCCUGGUAGUCCUAGCCGUAAACGAUGGACACUAGAUGUUGGAAUGGUAUUCAUUUCAGUAUCGUAGUUAACGCGUUAAGUGUCCCGCCUGGGGAGUACGCUCGCAAGGGUGAAACUCAAAGGAAUUGACGGGGGCCCGCACAAGCGGUGGAGCAUGUGCUUUAAUUCGAUGCAACGCGAAGAACCUUACCUGGUCUUGACAUGGGAGUGCAAAUUUCUAGAGAUAGAGAUCCUUCCUUCGGGAACACUCUACACAGGUGCUGCAUGGUUGUCGUCAGCUCGUGUCGUGAGAUGUUGGGUUAAGUCCCGCAACGAGCGCAACCCUUACCCUUAGUUGCCAUCAGGUUAAGCUGGGAACUCUAAGGGGACUGUCCGGUAUAACCGGGAGGAAGGUGGGGAUGACGUCAAAUCCUCAUGGCCCUUACGACCAGGGCUAGACACGUGCUACAAUGGUAAGUACAAAGGGCUGCGAAAUCGUGAGAUCAAGCUAAUCCCAAAAAACUUACCUCAGUUCGGAUUGGAGUCUGCAAUUCGACUCCAUGAAGCUGGAAUCGCUAGUAAUCGCGGAUCAGCAUGCCGCGGUGAAUACGUUCCCGGGCCUUGUACACACCGCCCGUCAAGCCAUGAAAGAUGGCAGUGCCCGUAGUCGUUACUCUAACCGCAAGGAGGAGAACGCCGAAGGUAAGGCCAUUGAUUGGGGCUAAGUCGGAACAAGGUA